AGAGUUUGAUCCUGGCUCAGGACGAACGCUGGCGGUGCGCUUAAUGCAUGCAAGUCGAACGGGCAAAGGGGCUUCGGCCUCGGCGCUAGUGGCAGACGGCUGAGUAACACGUAAGUGAUCUGCCCCGGAGAGGGGGAUAACCCGGAGAAAUCCGGCCUAAUACCCCAUACGUUCAUGUGGUUAUGGCCAUGUGAAGAAAGGUUUACGUCGCUCUGGGAGGAGCUUGCGGCCUAUCAGGUAGUUGGUGGGGUAAAGGCCUACCAAGCCGAAGACGGGUAACCGAUGUGAGAGCAUGAUCGGUCAGAGGGGGACUGAGACACGGCCCCCACUCCUACGGGAGGCAGCAGCAGGGAAUCUUGCGCAAUGGGCGAAAGCCUGACGCAGCGACACCGCGUGGGGGAAGAAGGCCUCAGGGUUGUAAACCCCUUUUCUGUGGGAAGAGAUAGGACGGUACCACAGGAAUAAGCAUCGGCUAACUACGUGCCAGCAGCCGCGGUAAUACGGAGGGGGCGAGCGUUAUUCGGAAUUACUGGGCGUAAAGCGCACGCAGGUGGCUGGGUCAGUCGGUUGUGAAAUCCCCGGGCUUAACUUGGGAAUUGCGAUCGAAACUGCCCGGCUAGAGUAUGGGAGAGGGAAGUGGAAUUCCCGGUGUAGCGGUGAAAUGCAUAGAUAUCGGGAGGAACACCAGUGGCGAAGGCGGCUUCCUGGCCCAAUACUGACACUCAGGUGCGAAAGCGUGGGGAGCAAACAGGAUUAGAUACCCUGGUAGUCCACGCCGUAAACGAUGAGAACUAGAUGUCGGGGGGGAUUGGCCCCUCGGUGUCGCAGCUAACGCAUUAAGUUCUCCGCCUGGGGAGUACGCCGGCAACGGUAAAACUCAAAGGAAUUGACGGGGACCCGCACAAGCGGUGGAGCAUGUGGUUUAAUUCGAUGCAACGCGAAGAACCUUACCUGCCCUUGACAUCCUCGGAACUUGGCAGAGAUGCCUUGGUGCCUUCGGGAACCGAGUGACAGGUGCUGCAUGGCUGUCGUCAGCUCGUG
rnacentral:rRNA from 1 species